UACGUAGGUGGCAAGCGUUGUCCGGAUUUAUUGGGUUUAAAGGGUGCGUAGGCGGUUUUCUAAGUCAGCAGUGAAAUACGGCAGCUCAACUGUCGAGGUGCUGUUGAUACUGGGGAACUUGAGUACUGAUGAGGUAGGCGGAAUGGACGGUGUAGCGGUGAAAUGCGUAGAUAUCUGGAGGAACACCGGUGGCGAAGGCGGCAUCCUGGACCGACACUGACGCUGAUGAGCGAAAGCCAGGGGAGCAAACGGG
rnacentral:rRNA from 1 species